CACGUGUCUCACUGAGGCCAAGUUGGUAUUAACUCUAACAGUUGUGAUAGCUGGCGGAUGAGAUAGAUGACUUAACAGAGACUGAUAUUUACUCUCUGCCUCCUUUGUACCUAAAGCAGUUAUAAGCUCAUUAUUUCUGAACACUUUGCUGAGAUACUCUUCAACUUCACGUUGGAAAGAGAUUUUGGGGAAAAAAGACAUCUUCCUUUAGUGUUUAAAUUAACUGGAGGUUCAGAGCACACCCACAC
rnacentral:lncRNA from 1 species